UACAGAGGGUGCGAGCGUUAAUCGGAAUUACUGGGCGUAAAGCGCGCGUAGGCGGCUUUGCAAGUCGGAUGUGAAAUCCCCAGGCUUAACCUGGGAACUGCAUUCGAGACUGCAUUGCUAGAGUAUGGGAGAGGGAAGUGGAAUUUCCGGUGUAGCGGUGAAAUGCGUAGAUAUCGGAAGGAACAUCAGUGGCGAAAGCGGCUCUCUGGGACGGUACUGACGCUGAGACGCGAAAGCGUGGGGAGCGAACAGG
rnacentral:rRNA from 1 species